AUAUGAGCCUAUCUAAUUUAAUAGAAAAUCUAGCUUAAUCCCUCCGAAUUUUUGAUACAAGUUCUAAAAAGGGUUUAGAGGCAUUGAAGGAGGAGUAUCAACUAUCGAGUUGAUCAAUGUGAGCGGGAUUUAGAGGUAUUGAAGGAUACCUACCAACUAUCGAGUGGCCCAAAAUGAUUCUAUGUAACACAUAUAUUAAAAAGAAGUUCUGGAAAAAAGAAAAAAAGAAAAGAGAUGAGUGCUUCCUUGUCACUCGUGCAUGGGUGACGGUGAUGCCGCUGCUUCCUCUGAACACAAAAAACUAUCCAUUUAUAUUCGGGAUAUCAUGUGGUGUUGGAUUCCCGUCGCAUGCAGACGCCGGCAUACUGUUUUCUCUAAAUCUCUCUCUUUUUUUCUAUGGAAAAAUUAGGUUCUACUGCUUUCUCUGAAUCUCAUCGCCGCAUCCAUCAGAAAGAGAGGAAAAGCUGUAAGCCGUCGCGGUAACCGACGCUGGGAAAAUAAAGAAUUAGGAGGCAAGCGAGACGAGCAGCGAUUGCCGUUAGAGAUGGAUCGAUGAGAGGGGUGGAGACGCGUCCAUGAGAACCGCCUUCGCCUCUCCCUCGAUCCCCUCUUCUUCUUCUUCUUCUCCCGUCGUCAUGGUCAGAAGCAAGAAGUCCGAGCCCCAAAAGGGUCCAGAUCAAGUUCCUCCAAGGAUUACAUCAAAUGUCAAGCAGAAUUUGCAGUUUCUAAGGUUGUGGAGGGAGUUUCAAAAGCAGAAAUCUAAUACGCCUAAGCCUGCUACUAGUUACCGCAAAAAGAAGGCUGUGAAAGAAGUGCUUCCAGAAGAUACAGAUUUCUAUAAAGACCCGACUACUAACCUUUAUUAUACAAACCAGGGCUUGGAUACUGCCAUUCCAGUUCUGCUUGUUGAUGGGUACAAUGUCUGUGGCUAUUGGGCAAAGUUAAAGAAGCAUUUCAUGAAGGGAAGGCUUGAUAUUGCUCGCCAAAAACUGAUUGAUGAGUUGAUAGCAUUCAGUGUACUGAAAGAGGUAAAGGUUGUGGUGGUAUUUGAUGCUAUGAUGUCUGGACUCCGAAGUCACAAGGAAAGUUUUGCUGGAUUCCUCCAUCAAGUGCCUGUAUUCUCUCCUUUUUCUGUCAAGAGGCUCUCUACAUGGAUUGAUGUAAUUUUCUCGUGUGACACGUGUGCGGAUACUUGGAUUGAAAAGGAGGUUGUAGCUUUGAGGGAGGAUGGCUGCCCAAAAGUUUGGGUUGUCACAUCUGAUGCAUGCCAGCAGCAAGCAGCACAUGGAGCAGGUGCUUUUGUUUGGAGCUGCAAAGCAUUAGUGUCAGAGGCCAAGCAGCCAAGAAGUAAGGAACGAGAAUUGUUGAAACUAGCAUAUUGGAAGAUCAAUCGGCCAAAAUAACCAUGAGGCAGAGUCAUUCUGAUUCUCGCUUUCUUUCCCGCAAGUGGAUUCGUCCGAUAGAUCUGACCGCUAGCCUUCCUAUUUGAUUCAGAGGAAUUUCUCUCUUCGUCUUGAUGCCUGCUAUCUUCCUAAACAGGAGAGAAAAGAAAGAAAGCCCCAACCUCUUCCUUCCUAUACUCAGAGUCAUCUUCAAGAUAAAAGCUUCGCAAAGGGAGUUUGAACAGAUGCUUAAUGAACACAGGCCAACUUCUAUGCAAGGAAAACUGCUCCAGCAUAACCUAGGUCCUGAAGUAGUUCAUGCACUCAAGGAUCUUAAGAAAAAGCUGUCUGAAGAAGAAGAAUCUACAUAAUUGAACUGAAUCUAUGUAAUUGAACUUUCCUGGUGUGCCCCAUCGCAUAUAUGAAGCUGGUUAAUACUGCCAAUAAUCACAAGCAGAUGCAAAUUGGAAGCUCAAAUGUCAACUGAUGGAUAAAUGAUGGGGGAUGUGGGGGUUGGAGGAUGUGAACAUUGAGGGCCUAUUUCGACAAUCCUGUUCAGGCUUCUGUUAUAUUAACCAAUAUUAGGAUAUAGGGAUGCUUAUGUUCAUCUGGUUACUAUUCGAUCAUUCCCUCCAGGAGAAGAAAUUGCUGACAGGUUUGAUUGUUUUCAGUUUCGGCAGAUUAAGAGCUAACAAGGUUUGGAAUGUGCCCAUAGACUAUAAAUUCCUUUGGCUUUUCCAUUAUUUGUCAUUUGUAUUAGUGAACAAAGAAAGAAAUCAGUUCUUUUUUUUUUCCCUUGGUGAA